CAGUAGCCGCGGUAAUACGAAGGGGGCUAGCGUUGCUCGGAAUGACUGGGCGUAAAGGGCGCGUAGGCGGCGAUCAAAGUCAGGCAUGAAAUCCCCGGGCUUAACCUGGGAACUGCAUUUGUGACUGGCGAGCUAGAGUAUGGCAGAGGGGGGUAGAAUUCCACGUGUAGCAGUGAAAUGCGUAGAGAUCGGGAGGAACAUCAGUGGCGAAGGCGGCCAUCCGGGACAACACUGACGCUGAAGCACGAGAGCGUGGGGAGCAAACAGGAUUAGAGACCCCCGUAGUCCCUGUCUCUUAUAC
rnacentral:rRNA from 1 species